CGCUCUUUACGAUUGCUAAGUGAUUUAGGGCAUCCCCUUCUUUUUCUAAUCGAAACCCGAAUUAAUGCUAAAGAAAUAAGAAUAUGGAGGUGGAAAUAUUCAAUUCUGCUGCUGCCCAUGGUCAGAAAGCCAAAACAAAAUUCAGGACUGAGCCUGAAGAUUGCUGGGAUUUGAAUUUGGGAUCUUGCUGUGCUAUCUCACACCCCACUGGGUUGCAGCCUGUGGGUGAGCUCGGAGAACGUCAGGAAUGUGUCAGUUUCAGUCUGAGUGGGACUGCAGGAAGAACAGAUUUCACAGAACAGAACCACUAGGGUCUCAGUAUUAUUUUUCCUGUAAAGCCUGCAAGAAGUGAAACUCAAAGAACAUAUAUGGUAACAUGCAGUGAAAUGGCCACUUUAUUACUUACACCUGUACACCUUCAAAUAUCUAAUCAGCUAAUCACGUGGCAGCAACUCAAUGCAGAAACGCAUUCAGACAUGGUGAAGAGGUUCAGUUGUUGUUCAGACUGGGGAAGAAAUGUGAUGUAAGUGUCUUUGACCAUGGAAUGAUUGUUGGAGCCAGACCAAGUGGUUUAAGUUUCUCAGAAACUGCUCCUCAGAAAUGGUGUGAAAAACAAAAAAAAAAAAAAUCCAGAGAGCAGCAAUUCUGUGGGUGAAAACACCUUGUUCAUGAGUGAGGUCCGAGGAGAAUGGCCAGACUGGUUCAAGCUGACAGGAGGGCGACAGUAACUCAAAUAACCACUCGUUACAACAGUGGCAUGCAGAAUAGCAUCUCUGAAUGUACAACACAUCAAAUCUUGAAGUGGAUGGGCUACAGCAGCAGAAGACUGCGAAGAUAGACUCAGUGGACACUUUGUUAGACACAGGAGGUACCUGAUAAUGUGGCUACUGCGUGUAUAUCCAUCUCCACGGUCUUUAGAAUUAGCUGUAAUUGAUGGUAAUUGAAUGACAAAGUUCCUGAUGA